GACGAACGCUGGCGGCGUGCUUAACACAUGCAAGUCGAACGGAAAGGCCCUGCUUUGGUGGGGUGCGCGAGUGGCGAACGUGUGAGUAACACGUGAGUAACCUGCUCUUGACUUUGGGAUAACUUCAGGAAACGGGCGCUAAUAGCGGAUAGGAGCUCCUUCUGCGUGGUGGGGGUUGGAAAGUUUCGGCGGUUGGGGAUGGACUCGCGGCUUAUCAGCUUGUUGGUGGGGUAGUGGCUUACCAAGGCUUUGACGGGUAGCCGGCCUGAGAGGGUGACCGGCCAAAUUGGGACUGGGAUACGGCCAGGCCUCCUCGGGGAGGAAGAAGUGGGGAAUAUUGAAAAAUGGGCGGAAGCCUGAUCAAGCACCGCCGCGUGGGGGAUGACGGCCUUCGGGUUGUAACCCGCUUCCGUCUGUGACGAAGCGUGAGUGACGGUAAUGGGUAAAGAAGCACCGGCUAACUACGUG
rnacentral:rRNA from 1 species